AGUCGAACGAGACCUUCGGGUCUAGUGGCGCACGGGUGCGUAACGCGUAGGCAAUCUACCCGAUACAGGGGAAUAACACGGGGAAACUCGUGCUAAUACUGCGUAAUAAAUGAGAAGGCAUCUUCUUAUUUUAAAAGCUUCGGCGGUAUCGGAAGAGCCUGCGUCCUAUUAGCUAGUUGGUAAGGUAACAGCUUACCAAGGCGACGAUAGGUAGGGGAACUGAGAGGUUGAUCCCCCACACUGGUACUGAGAUACGGACCAGACUCCUACGGGAGGCAGCAGUGAGGAAUAUUGGUCAAUGGACGGAAGUCUGAACCAGCCAUGCCGCGUGUCGGAAGACGGCCCUCUGGGUUGUAAACGGCUUUUCUUUGGGAAGAACACGCUCUUGCGAGAGCAACUGACGGUACCAAAGGAAUAAGCACCGGCUAACUACGUGCCAGCAGCCGCGGUAAUACGUAGGGUGCAAGCGUUGUCCGGAUUUAUUGGGUUUAAAGGGUGCGUAGGCGGCUAUUUAAGUCGUGGGUGAAAGCCCGUCGCUUAACGACGGAAUUGCCUGCGAUACUGGAUAGCUUGAGUAUCGUUAAGGUUGGCGGAAUGGGAGGUGUAGCGGUGAAAUGCAU
rnacentral:rRNA from 1 species